UGAGCUAGCUUCUGUUAUCUUUAGUAAAAUAUGUUUACAUUAUUUAUAAUUACGUAAUUCCAUUGAAUAAAGAUGAAGGAAACUGUUAGGGAGAGAGGCUUAGACAGGUUAGCUUAGGGUUAUUAGGAUCAGCCUCAAAUUGGUUCAACAUUCAUAUACAUACAUAUUGCUCUCACACUCAAAUAGUCACCGCUCGCGCUUGGAUUUGCUCUGCUUGUGCUAAAACUUUCUGCUUUGACUCCGAUAUGUUGUUGCUUGGACAGAUUUCCUGCUCUCAGCUUUGGCCCUUCUCCUCACACUCAGGCCGAUUCUGCACGCUUGCAAAUCGGAUUCCUCCUGCACGUUCAGAUUUUUUGUGUUACAACCCUAUCAAAAUUCCCCAACAAAUAGAAUGCCAGCUGUAGUGUGAAAUGAUCCCUGCCCCGUUGAGGGUGCGUUCGCUUUACGUUAGAACAUCUGUUGCGGACAGCUGCUCUGUAACCGGGUUUAUGUACCCCCGCCGUCCAUUGCUUUAUUAUAUAUAUGUCAACAAUGUACACAGAAUGGUCGACGCACUUUCACCUGCACCCAUCAGGAAACUGGAGAAAGCUUUGAAAUGGGACAUAUCAAGUUACGUCCACAACUACGAGGGUGAGACUUAAGGACCCGU